rnacentral:rRNA from 1 species
GUCCACGCUGUAAACGAUGAACACUAGAUAUUGGAGGAUUUGACCCCUUCAGUGUCGCAGCUAACGCGUUAAGUGUUCCGCCUGGGAAGUACGGUCGCAAGACUAAAACUCAAAGGAAUUGACGGGGGCCCGCACAAGCGGUGGAUUAUGUGGUUUAAUUCGAAGCAACGCGCAGAACCUUACCUAGGCUUGAAAUCCUACGAAUCCCUUUUUAAACGAGGGAGUGCCCUUCGGGGAAUGUAGUGACAGGCGCUGCAUGGCUGUCGU